rnacentral:rRNA from 1 species
GACGUAGGGGGCGAGCGUUGUCCGGAAUUAUUGGGCGUAAAGAGCGUGUAGGCGGCUAGGUAGGUCCGUUGUGAAAACUCGAGGCUCAACCUCGAGACGUCGAUGGAAACCAUCUAGCUAGAGUCCGGAAGAGGAGAGUGGAAUUCCUGGUGUAGCGGUGAAAUGCGCAGAUAUCAGGAAGAACACCCGUGGCGAAGGCGGCUCUCUGGUACGUGACUGGACGCUGAGACGCGAAAGCGUGGGGAGCGAACAGG